AGAAUUCAUAUGCACAUUUAUUUGCUUAUAUUGGCUACUUGUAUGGACGCAACUUGAAAAAGCAACAAUAAGAAGCAUAAAAUGACUGCAAGAAGAGAACGAAAGAUCUGCCGACUGUAUUCUUCUUCCAUGCAGUGAGUUCCUUGUGCGUUUUGCUCCUGCAAGAGUACAAAUGCAGCCAUUAGUCCUCCAAAGAUUAGCCUAAAAUUCGACUUAGCAAGUAACACGUGGAUCAGGUCAAUGGAACAACUGUAAUGAAGCAAGUCCAGUAUGCAGUAGGGCCUUCAAUAGACUAGUUUCAAUUCAAUCUAAUUAGGCCUCAACACAAAUGAAGGGGAUUAAGAACCGAAAGCAUUUAACUUCUGAAUAGGAACAUAUCCUCUCUCUUUCAGUUGUCUUUGUAUAAAGUUUUCUUUCAAACAGAAAACAUAUAGCUAGGAAGCUGCACAACGUUCAAAGAGGAAAGGUUAUGAGUUUCACAAUGCAAAUUUUGUUUUGGUUUUCAUUCAAAACCUUGAAGGCCUUUUUAUCUACAUGUGGAUAUGUUUCUUUUUAAGGAAUAUGCGAAUUACGCAUGCUGCUACAAAUUAUAACUCAGCAUCAAUCAAUGGUGAAAAAAAAAAACAUUUUGAAUACUAUCUGCUUAAGUUUGCUUGUGAUGUUGACUGAGGCUAACUUGAAGGGGUUACAAGAUUUUCAGCACUAUAGCUCCACCAUAUCUUCACUAAAACUGAGAAAUGACAUUGCAAUACCCUCUGUAGUGAUAAACAGAUUUAGGGCAACAUUCGUACAAGGAGCAAUACAACACCUCAGAAGUGAACCACCUCAAAAAGAACUUUUCAUCUGUAAUUUGAAGUUCCUGUACCAGGCAAAGGCCCAACAUAGGGUUGAUAUCUUCAUUCCUUCGACUUGACAUGAACUGUCAAAAUUUGAGCACUACAUAUAGGAGAAAUGGCCCUAGGAAUUAGAGCAUAGAUAGUAGUGAGACAGAGAAAGAGGAUUGGAGCAAGAGUUGGGAUUCAGAGCUCAAGUGCAUUCAUAUGGCCUCCGCCAAAAAUUGUGCAAACACACAAGCCUGCAUCUUGGAACCUUAUGGACGCAAGGAAUGUGAGAUUCCAAACUUUGGAAAUUCAGGUUAGGAGUAACUCACCUCACCUACGUACUUUUGGCAGAUAUCAUCACCUUAUAUAAACCUUAUAUAAAGCCUUGAUCUUUCUGGAGCUUGACUAUUAUUAUCAUAACCUAAAGGAAAUGGAAACUAAAGACAUAAGAUAUCUCAUAUCAAACCGACUACAAGAAGGGCAAAUGAUCCUUUUGUUGGUCUAAUUAGCCUAACGUAUAAUCAACAACCAUAACCAUUAUCUUCAUUUUCCUUUAGUUUGAUGCGAUUAUUGUCAUCAAUGGCCUAAAAGGAAUGAAGACCGACUGAAUCCCUCUUGGAAGUCUACUGCAAUAUUGGUACCCAGAAAACCAAAAAUCUUGUCCUUAAUUAAAUCAACAGCAUCUCAAACUUCUCCUCUACAAUUCAUCUUACGAGGAUCAAACAACCACAAAAAAAGAAAGUCACAACUCGAAGAUAAAUAAAAGGUUUACUGUGAGUGAUGAAGAGCAACCAGAAACAAAAAAUUCAACCUUUCCUAUUUGAUUCAUACAAAAACAAUGAAGGCAAUGUUUUUCUUUUUGUUUCUUUUAAGGAAAGAAAAUUACCUCAGAUUGAGUCUACAUAAGUUCCUUGGCAGGCCUUGCUUUUACAUACAGGAAUAUCCUCAAACUGUUUAGCAGGCAGUUUCUCAGACAAAGCUCCAACAUAAAAC
rnacentral:lncRNA from 1 species